GGGCUUGACAUCCCACGAACCUGUCCGAAAAGGUGGGGUGCCCGCAAGGGAGCGUGGAGACAGGUGGUGCAUGGCUGUCGUCAGCUCGUGUCGUGAGAUGUUGGGUUAAGUCCCGCAACGAGCGCAACCCUCACCCCUUGUUGCCAUCAGGUCAUGCUGGGCACUCUAGGGGAACUGCCCCGGUCAACGGGGAGGAAGGCGGGGAUGACGUCAAGUCAUCAUGCCCCUUACGCCCUGGGCUACACACGUGCUACAAUGGCCGGUACAAAGGGAUGCAACGCCGUGAGGCAGAGCCAAACCCAAAAAGCCGGUCUAAGUUCAGAUUGGAGUCUGCAACUCGACUCCAUGAAGGAGGAAUCGCUAGUAAUCGCGUAUCAGCACGACGCGGUGAAUACGUUCCCGGGCCUUGUACACACCGCCCGUCACACCACGAUAGCCAGCUGUACUCGAAGUCGCUGAG
rnacentral:rRNA from 1 species